ACUUCUCUAUUAUAAAAUUUAAGUAAACUUAACUUCCAAUUAAGAAGUCCUGAAAGGGAGAAGUA
rnacentral:tRNA from 1 species